ACACAAACCGGUCGGUUGCCGACCAAGUAGGGCGUCUCCCGUUGUUCUAUGACUUCGUUUUUAAUUUGAAGAAAUGGUUUUGUUUAAUCAAUAAUUUAAGGAAAUGACAGUCCUUGUUUUAGGCGGUAUUUUUUCUGAACUUUAAAAUCACAAAAUGAUUAAUUUUGAUUUGUACAAAAAGAAGAAAAAAACGAAAAGAACAACAAAUGAGACCGGUUUUUAUUUCAAAUUAUGUUCCCAUUAGUAUUGCUGCUAGCGUGCCGUUGUUUGCCAAAUAUAAUACGCACUUUCUAAAAAAAAUAGUUCGUUUUGAGAGAGGAGUGCCAAUGGAAUUUUGACACCUUUUUUAAAACAGGUAUAAUACUGGCUAUCGUUAUUCAGUUCGUAGCUUUAACAUGGAACCGAAACUCUCUAUACAUUACUAAUGAUUGUAUACCGCAUGAUUUUUUUAAACAAUUGAAAAUUAUUGUUAGGGCACAUUUAGCAGAAAAUGCUUUCUCUUAAUCCGUUGAUAAACUGUAUUAAAAUAGCCAUUUAAAGUCAAUAGAGACUGUUUACUCAGCAGUCAGAGCUGUUCAAUCACCAUCGCCGCCAUCACAGAUACAUGUAUGUUUAAUAGAUCUGUAAAAUAAAUCCCGAUUUUAUUUUGCUUAAUUGAGAAAUCACGUGUUUUUUCUCGGAAUUUAUACCUAUUUAAAAACAUGAUUAAACAGUUAAUCUUGAAAUUAAAACAGUAAAUCUUG
rnacentral:sRNA from 1 species